AGAGUUUGAUCCUGGCUCAGAGCGAACGCUGGCGGCGUGCUUAACACAUGCAAGUCGAACGCGCAGUUUUUUGUAGCAAUACAGGAAAUGGGCGCGUGGCGAACGGGUGCGUAACACGUGGGCAACCUUCCCUUCGGUGGGGGAUACCCCCGCGAAAGCGGGACUAAUACCGCAUAACACUCCCUUGGUUAGUUCUGAGGGAUUCAAAGCAGCAAUGCGCCGGAAGAGGGGCCCGCGGCCGAUUAGCUAGUUGGUGAGGUAACGGCUCACCAAGGCAAAGAUCGGUAGCCGGUCUGAGAGGAUGAUCGGCCACACUGGAACUGAGACACGGUCCAGACUCCUACGGGAGGCAGCAGUGGGGAAUCUUGCGCAAUGGGCGAAAGCCUGACGCAGCGACGCCGCGUGGGGGAUGAAGCUUUUCGGAGCGUAAACCCCUUUCGACCCGGACGAAUGCCCGCAAGGGUUUGACGGUACGGGUAGAAGAAGCCCCGGCUAACUACGUGCCAGCAGCCGCGGUAAAACGUAGGGGGCCAGCGUUGCUCGGAAUUACUGGGCGUAAAGGGUCUGUAGGCGGUGCGGCAAGUCGGAAGUGAAAUCUCAGGGCUUAACUCUGGGGCUGCUCCCGAAACUGCCGUGCUCGAGUGUGAGAUAGGCGAGUGGAAUUGCAGGUGUAGCGGUGAAAUGCGUAGAUAUCUGCAGGAACAUCCGAGGCGAAAGCGGCUCGCUGGAUCACAACUGACGCUGAGAGACGAAAGCUAGGGGAGCAAACAGGAUUAGAUACCCUGGUAGUCCUAGCCCUAAACGAUCAGGACUUGGCGUGGGCCCUGUACGGGGCUCGUGCCGUAGCUAACGCGAUAAGUCCUGCGCCUGGGGAGUACGGUCGCGAGGCUGAAACUCAAAGGAAUUGACGGGGGCCCGCACAAGCGGUGGAACAUGUGGUUCAAUUCGACGCAACGCGAAGAACCUUACCUGGGCUUGAAG
rnacentral:rRNA from 1 species